rnacentral:rRNA from 2 species
AAAUUGAAGAGUUUGAUCAUGGCUCAGAUUGAACGCUGGCGGCAGGCCUAACACAUGCAAGUCGAACGGUAACAGGAAACAGCUUGCUGUUUCGCUGACGAGUGGCGGACGGGUGAGUAAUGUCUGGGAAACUGCCUGAUGGAGGGGGAUAACUACUGGAAACGGUAGCUAAUACCGCAUAAUGUCGCAAGACCAAAGAGGGGGACCUUCGGGCCUCUUGCCAUCGGAUGUGCCCAGAUGGGAUUAGCUAGUAGGUGGGGUAACGGCUCACCUAGGCGACGAUCCCUAGCUGGUCUGAGAGGAUGACCAGCCACACUGGAACUGAGACACGGUCCAGACUCCUACGGGAGGCAGCAGUGGGGAAUAUUGCACAAUGGGCGCAAGCCUGAUGCAGCCAUGCCGCGUGUAUGAAGAAGGCCUUCGGGUUGUAAAGUACUUUCAGCGGGGAGGAAGGGAGUAAAGUUAAUACCUUUGCUCAUUGACGUUACCCGCAGAAGAAGCACCGGCUAACUCCGUGCCAGCAGCCGCGGUAAUACGGAGGGUGCAAGCGUUAAUCGGAAUUACUGGGCGUAAAGCGCACGCAGGCGGUUUGUUAAGUCAGAUGUGAAAUCCCCGGGCUCAACCUGGGAACUGCAUCUGAUACUGGCAAGCUUGAGUCUCGUAGAGGGGGGUAGAAUUCCAGGUGUAGCGGUGAAAUGCGUAGAGAUCUGGAGGAAUACCGGUGGCGAAGGCGGCCCCCUGGACGAAGACUGACGCUCAGGUGCGAAAGCGUGGGGAGCAAACAGGAUUAGAUACCCUGGUAGUCCACGCCGUAAACGAUGUCGACUUGGAGGUUGUGCCCUUGAGGCGUGGCUUCCGGAGCUAACGCGUUAAGUCGACCGCCUGGGGAGUACGGCCGCAAGGUUAAAACUCAAAUGAAUUGACGGGGGCCCGCACAAGCGGUGGAGCAUGUGGUUUAAUUCGAUGCAACGCGAAGAACCUUACCUGGUCUUGACAUCCACGGAAGUUUUCAGAGAUGAGAAUGUGCCUUCGGGAACCGUGAGACAGGUGCUGCAUGGCUGUCGUCAGCUCGUGUUGUGAAAUGUUGGGUUAAGUCCCGCAACGAGCGCAACCCUUAUCCUUUGUUGCCAGCGGUCCGGCCGGGAACUCAAAGGAGACUGCCAGUGAUAAACUGGAGGAAGGUGGGGAUGACGUCAAGUCAUCAUGGCCCUUACGACCAGGGCUACACACGUGCUACAAUGGCGCAUACAAAGAGAAGCGACCUCGCGAGAGCAAGCGGACCUCAUAAAGUGCGUCGUAGUCCGGAUUGGAGUCUGCAACUCGACUCCAUGAAGUCGGAAUCGCUAGUAAUCGUGGAUCAGAAUGCCACGGUGAAUACGUUCCCGGGCCUUGUACACACCGCCCGUCACACCAUGGGAGUGGGUUGCAAAAGAAGUAGGUAGCUUAACCUUCGGGAGGGCGCUUACCACUUUGUGAUUCAUGACUGGGGUGAAGUCGUAACAAGGUAACCGUAGGGGAACCUGCGGUUGGAUCACCUCCUUACCUUAAAGAAGC